AAGACUAUACUUUCAGGGAUCAUUUCUAUAGUUCAUUACUAAAGAAGUUUCUCUGAACGUGUAGAGCACCCAUACAAACAAAUGG
ensembl:snoRNA U3 Small nucleolar RNA U3